CCCAAUUAGUCGGGGAGCAUGACUCAUAGAGGAUAUGCUGAGAUCGAAUUCGAGACCCGUUGAACCUGAUUCAGUUAAUACUGACGUAGGGAACUAGUCACAUCUUGUC
rnacentral:ncRNA from 1 species